rnacentral:rRNA from 1 species
GCCAUGCAAGUCUAAGUAUAAGUUUUCACACGACGAAACUGCGAAUAGCUCAUUAAAACACUUAUUAUAACAAUGAGACAAUUCUUCAAUGGAUAUCCAUGGAAAAUCUGAAGCUAAUACAUGUCGCAUUUCAUGCGUGAUUGGUCUUUAGUAAAACUCGGUAGCACUUCGGUGCUCUAGGUGAUCGGAUAGACUCAGAUAUCGCUUUAGCGAGGACUCAUUUCAGUUUGUGACCUAUCAGCUUGGUUGGUAAGGUAUUGGCUUACCAAGGCUAUUACAGGUGACGGGGAAUUAGGGUUUGAUUCCGGAGAGGGAGCCUGAGAGACGGCUACCACAUCUAAGGGUGGCAGCAGGCGCGCAAAUUACUCAGUCCCGACACGGGGAGGUAGUGAACAAAAAUAGUGGCAUAAAGCAUAUUGUUUUAUGACUGCAAUGAGUGAAAAUUACAUCGUUUCACGAGUAACAAUUGGAGGGCAAGUCUGGUGCCAGCAGCCGCGGUAAUUCCAGCUCCAAUAGCAUAUAUUUGAGUUGCUGCAGUUAAAGCGUCCGUAGUUAGAUAUCAAUUGGUUUGACAGCAACCUGUAAAGGGAUGCAACUUAAACCUUUAACUUGUUACCUUGAGAAAAAGGAGGCGCCUAAGGCACGCGAUAUGUGUGAACUAUCUAGCAUGGAAUAGCACAUUUAAACUGUCAAUAAACAUGCCGAAUGUUUGUUGAUUAGGAUGAUUGAUAAGGGCAGUCGGGGACACUUGUACUUGCUGGAGAGAGGUGAAAUUCUGAGACCCGGCAAAGACACUCAAAUGCGAAAGCUUUUGUCCAGAAUGUUCCUGUUAAUCAAGGACUAAAGUUGGGGGAUCGAAGACGAUUAGAUACCGUCGUAGUCCCAACCGUAAACCAUGCCGACUGAUCGUUGGUUAGAAGUCUGUAUUCUUUUCAGCGUUCGAAAGAAAUUGAAGUUUUUGGGCCCUGGGGGGAGUAUGGUUGCAAGACUGAAACUUAAAGGAAUUGACGGAAGGGCACCACCAGGAGUGGAGCUUGCGGCUUAAUUCGACUCAACGCGUGAAAUUUUACCAGGUCCGGACAUAGUUAUGAUUGACAAACUAAAAGAUUUUUCUAAAUUCUAUGGGUGGUGGUGCAUGGCCGUUCUUAGUCGGUGAGGUGACUUGUCUGGUUUAUUCCGAUAACGGACGAGACCUUGACCUUUAAUUCUUGACUGUUAUCUUAAACGGAAGAGUCUUAAAGGGACUCAAUGUUCCAAACAUUGGGAAGAUCAAGGCAAUAACAGGUCUGUGAUGCCCUUAGAUAACCUGGGCUGCACGUGUGCUACAAUAACAUGCACAACGAGUACCAAUAUCGAAACGAUGUUGUGAAUCUUCAAAGCGUGUUAAGGUGGGGAUUGUCGGUUGUAAUUGUCCGUCAUAAACGAGGAAUUCCUAGUAAGCGCAAGUCAUUAUCUUGAGUUGAUUUCGUCCCUGCCCUUUGUACACACCGCCCGUCGCUUCAACCGAUUGGAUGGUUAGGUGAAUUUUGUGGAUCGAAAGGCUUCGGCCUAUUGUGAAACAACGUGAGCCUAACUGUUAGAGGAUGAAGAAGU